AAGGCGACAAGGAGAUGCUGUGACGCCGCUAUCCAAAGCCCUAACAGAGGAUUAGCUGUUCUAUCUAAGAUCACAGUUUAAGCUGCUAGCACCAAACGGAGAAGGUCACAUAUCGUUCAACAACUUUUGAAUGGCCCUAUUGCAAAAUGCAACCGAGGCAAUGAAGGAGAGUAAGGUUAUUGAUAUCUUAAAUGUG